rnacentral:lncRNA from 1 species
CCGGAGCGGCGAAGCUCGCCGGAGAAGAUGAAGAUUCAUCUUCCUCCUUCGGUUUUCCGGAAAAGGUUCUAUAGAGAUAAGGGAGAGCUUCUCUCUCUAAGUUUAACUUAGAGAGAGAAAUGUUUUGAUUUGUAUGUGUUUUUUAGCUGUCUUUCCACUUAUAUACUCCCCUUGGUUUUCGAAAUCUUGUGCGUGCGUUUUAAUGCGAUCUACCCUACGACUUGGUUUUUGGACCGUUAGAUCGUAAAUCUGACGGUAUCUGCUUCACUACCUUUUUUCAGUGUUUACUUUACGUGUUUUUUUUAACUGUUGGAUCUCAGAUCCUGUGGCUGUGAUGAUACUUCCUGUGAUUAGAUCUAGACCUUCUGU